CGGACGGGUGAGUAACACGUGGAUAACCUACCUAUAAGACUGGGAUAACUUCGGGAAACCGGAGCUAAUACCGGAUAAUAUAUUGAACCGCAUGGCUCAAUAGUGAAAGACGGUUUUGCUGUCACUUAUAGAUGGAUCCGCGCCGCAUUAGCUAGUUGGUAAGGUAACGGCUUACCAAGGCAACGAUGCGUAGCCGACCUGAGAGGGUGAUCGGCCACACUGGAACUGAGACACGGUCCAG
rnacentral:rRNA from 1 species